GCAGAACGCGAAGAACCUUACCUACUCUUGACAUCCACGGAACUUUUCAGAGAUGAAUUGGUGCCUUCGGGAACCGUGAGACAGGUGCUGCAUGGCUGUCGUCAGCUCGUGUCGUGAAAUGUUGGGUUAAGUCCCGCAACGAGCGCAACCCUUAUCCUUUGUUGCCAGCGGUUAGGCCGGGAACUCAAAGGAGACUGCCAGUGAUAAACUGGAGGAAGGUGGGGAUGACGUCAAGUCAUCAUGGCCCUUACGAGUAGGGCUACACACGUGCUACAAUAGCGCAUACAAAGAGAAGCGACCUCGCGAGAGCAAGCGGACCUCAUAAAGUGCGUCGUAGUCCGGAUUGGAGUCUGCAACUCGACUCCAUGAAGUCGGAAUCGCUAGUAAUCGUAGAUCAGAAUGCUACGGUGAAUACGUUCCCGGGUCUUGUACACACCG
rnacentral:rRNA from 1 species